rnacentral:rRNA from 1 species
AUAUCAAUAAGCGGAGGAAAAGAAACCAACAGGGAUUGCCUCAGUAACGGCGAGUGAAGCGGCAACAGCUCAAAUUUGAAAUCUGGCCUCUUUGGGGUCCGAGUUGUAAUUUGUAGAGGAUGUUUCGGGUACCGCCUCGGUUUAAAUUUCUUGGAACAGAAUGUCAGAGAGGGUGAGAAUCCCGUCUUGGACCGGCGGUAGGGCCCAUGUGAAACUCCUUCGACGAGUCGAGUUGUUUGGGAAUGCAGCUCAAAAUGGGUGGUAAAUUUCAUCUAAAGCUAAAUAUUGGCCAGAGACCGAUAGCGCACAAGUAGAGUGAUCGAAAGAUGAAAAGCACUUUGAAAAGAGAGUUAAACAGUAUGUGAAAUUGUUGAAAGGGAAGCGCUUACAACCAGACUUGCGCGCGGCGGUUCCCCCUUCCUUUUGGUUGGGCUACUCCGUCGUGUCCAGGCCAACAUCGGUUCUGGGGGUCGGUUAAAGACCCUGGGAAUGUAUCUACCCUUCGGGCGUAGACUUAUAGCUCAGGGUGUCAUGCGACCUCCCGGGACCGAGGAACGCGCUUCGGCUCGGAUGUUGGCGUAAUGGUUGUCAGCGACCCGUCUUGAAACACGGACCAAGGAGUCUAACAUCUAUGCGAGUGUUUGGGUGUCAAACCCGGAACGCGAAAUGAAAGUGAACGGAGGUAGGAAGCCUUGAGGCUGCACUAUCGACCGAUCCUGAUGUCUUCGGAUGGAUUUGAGUAAGAGCAUAGCUGUUGGGACCCGAAAGAUGGUGAACUAUGCCUGAAUAGGGUGAAGCCAGAGGAAACUCUGGUGGAGGCUCGCAGCGGUUCUGACGUGCAAAUCGAUCGUCAAAUUUGGGUAUAGGGGCGAAAGACUAAUCGAACCAUCUGGUAGCUGGUUCCUGCCGAAGUUUCCCUCAGGAUAGCAGUAACGUUUUCAGUUUUAUGAGGUAAAGCGAAUGAUUAGAGGCCUUGGGGUUGAAACAACCUUAACCUAUUCUCAAACUUUAAAUAUGUAAGAAGUCCUUGUUGCUUAAUUGAACGUGGACAUUUGAAUGUAUCGUUACUAGUGGGCCAUUUUUGGUAAGCAGAACUGGCGAUGCGGGAUGAACCGAACGUGAGGUUAAGGUGCCGGAAUGUACGCUCAUCAGACACCACAAAAGGUGUCAAUGCAUCCAGACAGCCGGACGGUGGCCAUGGAAGUCGGAAUCCGCUUAGGAGUGUGUAACAACUCACCGGCCGAAUGCAUUGGCCCUGAAAAUGGAUGGCGCUUAAGCGUGCUACCUAUACCUCGCCGUCAGGGUUGACAUGAUGCCCUGACGAGUAGGCAGGCGUGGAGGUCCGUGACGAAGCCUUGGGGGUGACCCUGGGUCGAACGACCUCUAGUGC